UCUAACUUAAGACAAUUCCAAUAAUGUUAGCUAGCCUGAGACAGAGUAACAGGAUUGCAAAUUGAACCUUCAAGGCUUUGGCUUGCCUAACUGUGAGACCGACUAGUUGAAUAGAGACGAAAGUGGGUUAUAGUGAUUCGGGAGUCUCGUGUGAAAAGGCUCUCACUCAACGGAUCAAAGGUAUCCAGAGAUAACACGCUGAUGACUCCCAAGAGCUACUAUCGAGGGGUCGUUUGGCACAUCCGAUUUCGACUCAUUACAUUUUGGGGCCGAUGAAGGUCCCAAGGAUUCGGUUGUUCGCCAAUUCAAGUGGUACGUGAGUUGGGUUUAGAACGUGGCGAGAGAGC
rnacentral:ncRNA from 1 species